UAUAUGAUAUUAAGUCACGUAAAUGAAGGGAAUCUUAAAAAAUAAAAUUUAUUAAUUAUUUUUGUUAAUCCUCACUGGAGGAUACAUUCCCAUUGAUUUUUUUAGAGAAGUGGAAAGGAGGGGGAGAGACACAGAGAGGGAAACAUCGAUGUGAGAGAGAGACAUUGAUUGGUUGCCUCCCACAUGCGCCCUGACCCGGGGCCGAGGAUUGAGCCUCUAACAGAGGUAUGGGCCCUUGACUGGAAUGGAACCCAAGACACUUUCCAUUGAGCAAACUGUCUAGGGCUUAAAAAGUCAAAUUUAUAGGAAAAUUUUAACUUUGACAGUAUAACAUAGGAUACUCAUUACAAAGCUCUUUCCUUGUAUCAGAGCUUGACCCAUAGCUGUAUUAUUUUGGGGACAAGGUUUAAAUAAUGACAGUGCUUACUUUUGAAUAGCAAGUGCUUCCUGUCAUAUUUUUAAAAGGCAGUGCAUAUUUACAUAUACAGAGGGAAGCUGAAAGAUAAAUUGGCUUAUGGCAGAAUGUCACUGUUUCAGUUUGCCAUCAAACAAGCAGUUACUCUUUAGUUUCCCAUGGCAAAUAUACCAAUGCAACAGAACAUUCUACUCCUUUCCCAUGUUAAGGUCAGCAGAAACAAAACAAAAUCCCUUCCCCAAAUUCUUAAAACAUUUAAAAUAGACAAAGUGAUUCAGAAGUUGUUAGGAGGAAGAGGAAAAGUGGUGCAUACAGGUGUUUCUCAAAUGAAUUUCAAAUAAAAAGGCCAGUGAAAACUUUCUAGGUAGGAGGCAUCAGCCUACCUUAGGCUGAGGAUAACUGUAACUUCAGCAAUGUACAUGUUACAUAGUUCUAUGAUUUCAAAGUGAGGGCUUUUAUAAUUCAUUUCAGCUCUAAAAUUGUUUUACUUUUGUCCUUUUUGUUCUUUCCAACUUGUUGGAGUAUAAUUUGUAUAGAAACCAAAACUUGAAUUUGUUUAAAGAAAUGAUUGUUAGACUAUUUACUAUGAGUUCUUGAAGUUUAUUCUAUUUAAGAACUGAAUUCAUUUGUUUUCUGUGUAAUAUGCUAAUUGUAAUGUGGAAUGGUGAAUAUUGUACAUUGUUUGACUCAUUAUUUUGGAUUGUGUUUAACCUCCAUAUAUUUGAAUUUCUCAAUUUUUUUGUUAUUAAUUUCUAAUUUUGUUACAUUUUUGUCAGCAUAGCUGUUGUAAUUUUAAUUCUUUGAAACUUAUGGAGACCUGCUUUUUGUGGUUUAUCUUAGAGAAUGUUCAGUAUAUUUUAGAGUAGAAUGUAUAUUCUGCUGUUGUGUCAGGGUAGAGUUCUAUAGAUGGCUUUUCAGUCUUGUUGCUUUAUAGGGUUCAAGUUUUCUGCUUCCUGUUGAUCUAUUAGUUAUUGAAAGCGGGUAUUGUGGUCUCCAUCUAUUGUUGAAUUGUCUAUUCUUCACUUUAGCUUUUGCUUCAGGUGUUUUGAGUUGUUUCCUGUAUGUUUGUUAAUUGUUAUAAUUUAUUAGUGAAUUAGCCCUUUUGUCAUAGGAUGUUUUUCUUUGUCCCCAGUAACAAUAUUUGUCUCAAAGUACAUUUUGUCUGACAUUAGUAUAGCCACUCCAGCUCUAUUUUGAUUACAGCUUGUAUGGUGCAUAUUUUUACAUCCUUUUAGUUGUAUCCUAUAUUUAUCUUUGAAUAUAAAGCAUAUAGUUGUAUCAUACUUUUUAAAUCCAUUCUGCCAAUCUAUGCCUUUUAAUUGUAAGUGUUUAAUUAAUUUACAGUUUAUAUGAUUACUGAUAAGGUAGGAUUUACAUUUGCCCUUUUGCUAUUUAUCUUCUAUAUAUCUUCUGUUUUUAUUCUCUAUUCCGCCAUUUCUACCGUGUGUGUGUGUGUGUGUGUGUGUGUGUGUGUGUGUGUGUGAGAGAGAGAGAGAGAGAGAGAGAGAGGGAGAGAGAGAGAGAGAGAGGUUGAGAGAGAGAGAGGUUUUCCAUUGUACCAUUUUACCGUUUUCUUUAAUUUAUCAUGUUAUUUUUUGAUGGUUGCCCUGGAACUUACAACCAGUUCUGGUUAAUAUUCACCUAAUUUCAGUACUACAUAAAGACUUAGCUCCUAUGUAGUUCCAUUCCCUCCCCUUCCUUUGUGUUGUUACUAUCACGUUACAUCUUUGUACAUUGUGUUUUCAGCAACUCAGAUGCAUACUUACUGCUUUAUUGAGUGUCUUUGAAAUCACAUGGGAGAAAAUAAAUUUAACAAACCAAAAAUGCAUUCAUCCUCUCUUUUAUAUUUACUUGGAGAGGAUGGGAGAGGGAGAGAUAGAAACAUCAAUGAUGAGAGCCACCGAUUGGCUGUCUCCCCCACACUCCAAACUGGGGACCGAGCCCACAAUCCGGGCAUAUGCCCCGACUGGAAUCAAACCAUCACCUCCUGGCUCGUAGGUCGAUGCUCAGCUACUGAGCCAUGAGCCUUGUGUUGCAAUGACAAAAGCCAUCACAUUGCCUUCUGGCCUUCAUGAUGUCUGAUGAAGAAAUCAGGUGAACUAAUACGUGAUUAUGGUUGAGAAUAAGUAUGUCAUUUCUUUUACCCAAACCAUGCAACAUUAUCUGCCCUUGUUUUUUUCUGAAUAAGCCUUUUAAUACCUCUAAGCCUUAGUUUCUUCAUCUGUAACAUAGGGAUGAUAGUACCUCCUAGGUUUGUGUGAAUUUAAUGAGGUCAUGAAUGUAAAGUGCACAGUAUUUAGAAGUUAGUGUUAUUAAUAAUUAACAAAAUUCAUAAUCCUAAUAAUCUGUUUGGUGAACAAUAAUAGGAUAUGUUGGAAUGAUGUAUGGUAUAUUUUAAUGCAGAAGUUCUUUAUGUCCCAGAUAAGGUGUUGUUUUUUUGGGGUGGGGGUGGGGGUGGGGGGGGUCAGAUAAAGGAAGAAAUUCCAGGAAGAGCACUGUCAAGAGUGAAUUGUGAGAGAGGUGCUGUUUGGGAGAAUAGAAGGAGUAUGUAGUACUUGUAAUGUUUGUGGGUUCUAAAUAUAUUCUGAAAUGGUUCUUUUUCCUAUCUUCCUCCUGUACCAGCCCCCAGUUUUUGACACUCACUAAGCUGUGAGACCCCAAAUAAAUUAUUUAAUUACUAAUGAAAGUACAAAAGUCUGUCAUUUACUUUUAGAAUAGGAUCAGACAUAAUUCAGGGUUUUCUCUAUUAAUAAUAUCACUGCCAGACCUGUGUGGCUCAGUGGUUGAGCGUGGACUUAUGAACCAGGAGGUCAAGGUUGGAUUCCCAGUGAGGGCACAUGCCUGGGUUGUGGCCUCCAUUCCCAAUAGGGAGUAUGCAGGAGGCAGCCGGUGGAUGAUUCUCAUCAUUGAUGUUUCUGUCUAUCUCCCUCUCCCUUUCUCUCUGAAGUCAAUAAAAAUAUGUUUAAAAAAAAUUUUUUUUUUUGGUAAAAAAGAGCUGGUUCUCCAGCUGCAGUGGCUCAGUGGUUGAGCAUUGACCUAUGAACUGGGAGGCCACAGUUCGAUUCCCAGUCAGGGCACAUGCCCAGGUUGUGGACUCCGUCCUCAGUGUGGGGCAUGCAGGAGGCAGCCGAUCCAUGAUUUUCUCUCGUUGAUGUUUUUAUCUUUCUCUCCCUCUCGCUUCCUCUCUGAAAUCAAUGAAAAAAAAAUUUUUUUUAAAGCGCUGGUUCUUUUUCAAAAGAGGGCGGGGGGGGGGGGAAUAAAAAAAAGGAAAAUGCAAUUUAACU